rnacentral:sRNA from 1 species
AAUAAUAUUAUAUUUUCAUCUAUUUAUAUCGCAUUAUUUAAAACUCAUAUACUGUCAAAUUAUAUCGAAUAAAUAAUAGAAAUUUUGUAACAUAACAUUCAAAGUAGUACUAUGACUAACUAAAUACACACUACAUAAUAAGAGUCAAAACCCAAUAUAUCUUGGCCAAUGCCUUAGGAAAAUGCACAAACAAACUCAAACACAUUGAAGUCAUUAAAAAAAAGUGGUACAGAGAAUAUUGGAUGAGGAAUAUUCACCAGACAAUGAUCCUGAGUAGAAAGUUGAAGAACUAGAGCAUGAUUUGGACUAGUAGUAUACAUAAUAACUAGAUUUUAACCUGCGGUACACCGCGGGAACAAUUUAUUUUUUAAAUUAAUAUAUAUAAAAGUUUGUAAAUUGUAUAUAGUUAUAAAAUGUUUUUAUUUUAUAGUUUACAAUUGUUAUUAAGUAACGUCCUGCCAAACCCGUCCCGCCAACCCGUCCUCUU